UCCCUCUUCACUCCUUCGCUCCGUUCAAAUGGGUUUCUUGCUAGUGGCAGUUAGCCUCCAUUCGAAAGAGCAUCUAGUUCGCUGCCUAAUUCCCUUUCCUCUCCAACCCCUCUCGGUGCAGGUUUGACCGAUGCCAAUGCGCCUUGUCCAGAGACAGAUUGAGACAUAGGAGGUUCCGCUUCAAUAAAGCUUUCUCCCGGCCCGAUGGCCCUCGACUAUCCCUCGAGAAUCAAGAUUGAUUUAAAGGGAAUGACGAGCUAGCUAGCAGAGGCACGAUUGCUGGUUAAAAGAGAAUAACAGAUCUGAGCGUAAAUCCCACCUAUUCUCCUGUAUGCCUUCCUCGAUCAACGACUUCCAGUAAUCACUCCGAAGCGGUAGGAGCGAACAGAAGAUGGGCAGAUUCGUCUCCCUUGCUAGCAGGCUCUUUCGUUCACCGUCCUCCGCAAAAAACAGGGAUGUUUGUUUAGUUGCUCGUUAGCUUGCUUUCCCUCUUUCUUCUGGAAGAUCAAGUUUCGAAGCUUACCUUUCAGCAGCAUAUUCUGAGAUAGGAAUAUAAAUCCCAUCGGUCCCUGAAUCCACAUCCGAAGCAGAGAGAAGCCCGUCUAUCUUUAUUUGUUCCGGUGCUCUACUCUAUAGGAAGAGUAAUCAGUUGAUUCGGUUCCACUUCUGUGGUUGGAAGGAGUUCAGUUGGUAGUUUGUUGUUAGCUCGCCUUGCUUUCCUUCUCUCAAAAGAUGAAUCAGCGGAAUCAAACAAAGGCAUUCUUUUAUCUUCGUCCAUCCUCAGCUGGAUCUGCAGAAUUAGACGUAGGAGGUCCCAUCGCAGAGACGACAUUAGAUGGGCGGGCGGCCUUGCCCAACAACCAGCAAUCCAGAUAGUUACCUCUUUCCCUUUCAAUCACCGAUGGCUAAGCAUCUCUCUUCCCAUCCUAUUCCUCUUAUUCCCUUUCUAAUGAUGCUCGAGGAGACCACCUAGUUGGAAAGGUUCUUUGGUCAGUCGAUGAAAGCCUUUUUGGUUUGUGUGGGCCUUUACUCCCUCGUUCGGUUCCAGUGAAGGGUUAUGCAAUAGAUGAAUUCGAUCCAGCCUCAACCAGAAGCACAAACGAGAUAGGAACAUUGCCCGAUACACUCCUUUCCUCUCACCUUUUGUCACCUUGACUAUUCCGGUACCUUUCCGAACCUAUACUAAACACCAACCUGUCAUCUUCUUUUAUCACUCUUUUUCUAACCCCUCCAACAGUAAGACCUUUCCUUCUCUUUCCUUUUACCUAUUAAUAACCAACCUUUUCUAAUCUGUAGUUCUUUUGCCUCAACCUAUUUAAUCUAACCCAUCUAAACUUUUUAUUACCUGAGUUUAAUAACUCUCAUUCCUAAGCCUUUCCUUUCCUUUGAUCUAAAAGUUCUCUUUCCUUAAUCACAGUCCGGCUGCCGGCAACCUUACUUACCUCUAUAUUUACCCCAUUACUUACCUCAUUUACCUCCAUAGUGACUGAAUCAGAUUAGACUUACCCUUGACUUACCUAAUCACAAUGAAUAAGCAGCUACGGAUAGACAAAGAGUGAAUGGGGGAGGGGGACUGAGGCACUCGACUAUAAAAGCCGGGAGAGUCAAAAGAGGAUUAUAUCAAUCGGUUCCGAGAUUCGGCAACGCGAGUCACUCAAUGCCAACUUAAUGAGGAUGCUAAGAUUCCUAUGGCAUUGGAACGGCACCCGAGUACCGAACAUUCUUCAGCCAGGGCCUUAUCCCUCACUCUUUCGAAUUCAUGAUCGACCGAGUUGAACGUAAUGAAAGCGCAAGGGGGACCGGAACCUAAAAAAAGCUAGAAAUAGGGCACAAAAGAGGGCACAGAGGACCCGGACCCGUACUUCCUUGAGGAUAGGGGAGAUACGAUCGUGAAGUAGGAAGCCUGAUGAAAACAGGUAAAUUAAACCUGAGGAAUUAGACCGUAAAUCCUGGUUCGGAAGAGGGACAGGAGGAACCAAAGGGAAGCGAGGGAAAGAGGAAAAAGAAAAAAGAAUAAUUCAUAGAGUUUGAAAAAGAAAGCGGUUACUUCUUUAAUUCGUUUGAAAAAGCAAAAAAUCAAGUUGAAAUU
rnacentral:lncRNA from 1 species